ACUGAAUAUGGUAUUUGCUUUUAUUAUAGACCUGACUACUCUUGGCUUUAAAAUCAUUAGCUUAUGUGACUAUAUUGAAAUUGACAUUCUUAAAUAUU